rnacentral:rRNA from 1 species
CCUACGGUGGGCAGCAGUGAGGAAUAUUGGUCAAUGGGCGGAAGCCUGAACCAGCCAAGUAGCGUGCGGGCUGAAGGCCCUACGGGUCGUAAACCUCUUUUGUCAGGGAGCAAAGUCACCCACGUGUGGGUGUUGGAGAGUACCUGAAGAAAAAGCAUCGGCUAACUCCGUGCCAGCAGCCGCGGUAAUACGGAGGAUGCGAGAGUUAUCCGGAUUUAUUGGGUUUAAAGGGUGCGUAGGCGGGUUAUCAAGUCAGCGGUAAAAUCGUGGAGCUCAACGCCAUCCAGCAGUUGACACUGAUGAUCUUGAGUGGGCGAGAAGUAUGCGGAAUGCGUGGUGUAGCGGUGAAAUGCAUAGAUAUCACGCAGAACUCCGAUUGCGAAGGAAGCAUACCGGCGCCCGACUGACGCUGAAGCACGAAAGCGUGGGUAUCGAACAGGAUUAGAUACCCUUGUAGUC